GAUGAAGAACGUAGCGAAAUGCGAUAAGUAAUGUGAAUUGCAGAAUUCAGUGAAUCAUCGAAUCUUUGAACGCACAUUGCGCCCCUUGGUAUUCCGAGGGGCAUGCCUGUUCGAGCGUCAUUAUAACCCCUCAAGCUCAGCUUGGUGUUGGGGCCUGCCGCACGGGCAGCCCUUAAAAUCAGUGGCGGUGCCAUCUGGCUCUAAGCGUAGUAAUUCUUCUCGCUAUAGAGUCCCGGUGGAUGCUUGCCAUUAACCCCCAAUUUUCUAUGGUUGACCUCGGAUCAGGUAGGGAUACCCGCUGAACUUAAGCAUAUCACUAAGCGGAGGA
rnacentral:misc_RNA from 1 species